UGGUUUUACAAGUGACGAGCGCAAAUGAUGUGCAAUAAUCUUAGAACGUUGGAGACUAUGAUUUAGCCUGUGUCAACCCAAACAACUUGCAUGUCCAUGACAGCAUGAGCCCUGUUUGGAGGGAAAAAUCUUUAGCCUACGUGGACACGUCUGACCACUUCUAUUGGGUGACACAUCAGACGAGCGGUUCGGGAGCAAGGUUCACUUGACGAGGAGGCUGAGUUACGAGUAGGGACUAGAGCAUCUCCAACCGGCUCGCACAAUAAGUUGGGCUGGACAAUUGGCGUCGACUUGAUUGAGAGCGCGUGCAUAGCCCAGGAAGAUUUGAAUGGUUAUGUAAAAUAUAAGGGGUUGGUGAGAUUUUGCCCUGGACCUGCUUCUGCGGGAGAGAUGACCAAUGGCAAUGUCUGGGACUACUGCUGAACCAUGAGGUGGGAAGGCCACUGGGCUGUCAGAGAAGGCGGACAAUUGGCUGUUCCUCACACAGGCAGGUUUAAGCACAGGCGAGAGAGGAGUCAUCUGCCAUCAGACAGACUGAAAGAAAGACCGUAACGACGGAUCAGCUCGUGUGUUAUUUAGGAUCCCUGCAGAUCGUAGAGGUGGCCAAUCUACUUGGGUUCCCCUUUUCUGUUGUCUCUCGUGGAGGGAGAGAGAACAUCAGCUUACACAUCCAUUGAGAUGCAGUCUGCAGAUGGAGACGUUCCAGAAAACAACUAUUUAUUAUCAGCCUCCACACACCUGUUGAACAUGCACAGAAACCUCAAAACAUGCACUCCCAUUGUUUAAACCGAGGGUUUUUAUUUUUGCUUUGUGAUUUAAAUGUGUAUUUUGUGAAUUCUUAAGAAUCUGUAUAGUGCAACAUCAUUCUGUUAUUCUGAUUUGUAAAAGUCUGUCUUCAGGAUUCAGGAUUUACAAUGAACUGGUAUGUCAAAAUGGAUCCUGCAGAUCAUUUCAUCUCUAUCAACAUUUAUUAAAUUAAUUAAAAUGAUAAACCAUAAAGGGAAUAUGUCCACUGUAAGAACCACUUACACCACUGUACAUUUUCUAAAUGAACGGAAUAAAAAAUAUUCACUAAGA